AUAUAACAUAGCAAUAUAUCAAAAUCAACUUAGUAAAAUAACGAAAUCUUAUAUCCAAUAUGCUAACUUUCGUAGUUGCUUAUAAAAGUAUUCACAUUUUGUUUUGGAUAAAUAAUUAAGUUGUCCACAUAGUUGGUCCACAUAGACAACGUAAGAAACAAUAUCCAACCCAAAAUAUUUGCACAUCUCAAAAUACAAAAAUAUAAUGCAUACCA
rnacentral:lncRNA from 1 species